rnacentral:misc_RNA from 1 species
AAAUGCGAUAAGUAAUGUGAAUUGCAGAAUUCCGUGAAUCAUCGAAUCUUUGAACGCACAUUGCGCCCUCUGGUAUUCCGGGGGGGCAUGCCUGUCCGAGCGUCAUUGCGAACCCCUCAAGCACGGCUUGUGUGAUGGGCCCUCCCGCGUCUUGGUCGCCAAGACGGGCCCGAAAUGCAGUGGCGGCUUCGCGGUUAUCCGAUCAGCCAGAGCGUAUGGGGACUCUCUCUCUUGUCACACGCCCGCGGCGCGGACCGACGCCUGUCGACCUUUAUUCAUCUUCUCUCGGUUGACCUCGGAUCAGGUAGGGAUACCCGCUGAACUUAAGC